rnacentral:lncRNA from 1 species
GGAUUCCAGCAGUAUUUGCCAUCCUUUCUGCAAAUUGUAUUUUUGGGGGUUUGGAGGUUCUUGAAUCCGUCCAGCAAAUUCCUCAACUCGGGGAGUGUGCACGUCCGCCAGGCUGAAGGCAUGACAUCAUGGGAAAGGAAACAGACAACUCACGCCUCUCUUGCUGGUCUCCAGUGUACACAGUGUUUGCGUUGGAUUCCAAACAGCGUCAAAACAUUUCCAGAACCCAGUGAAAUGCAAAAAGCCAAAGAUCAGUUCUUCCAAGAAUAAAGGAAACCAGAAAAAGCAGGUUACGUACUGGCCCGCCAGAGUUCUGCCAAAUCCUGGUUACCACCUCUACGUCUACUGUUCCCCGUGGCAGGUGGUGCACAUCACCAGCUCCCCUUGCUUUCCAUUCCUGCUGCAGAUGCUUCAAGUUAAAGGCCCGUUUGUACUCCUGGCUAAAACGUGAUAAUCUGACAGAGAGGGAUUUCUUAAGGAAGGUUGGACAGCAAUAUUACCUUCUUUCUGAUGCCUUCAAGGCAGUUGGCAGGCUUUAGGAUAGCCAGAGCCAAACUAUAAAAUGUAACCCAUUUUCUUGUUUUUCAAAUGGAGCAGUCCACAAGUCUGCUGGACUCUGGUCUUGUGAAAUUUAUUACCACAGUACUGUUGGCAGGAAAAAAGUACUUCCAAAUUCAAAAAGAGAUAUGGUGUGAGACAAAUACAGGCAAAUGAACCUGGCAUCUUCCUUCAUGAUUAUUUGUAAAAUUUACCAAACAAUUGAAAUUAGAUGUCAAUGUCAUCCAGUAGUUAUUUUAUGAGGUCUUUUUGAAUUUGAAACUUUCAACGGUAAUACAUACUUUAGUAUGUUUACUAAAAUAUGGCAACCGUUAUUGUGCUUCAGGUGGACAAUUUAGGAGUUCAGGACAAAUAAAUAAAACAGAAGAACACUGGGGGAAAAGAGA